rnacentral:rRNA from 1 species
GAUGAACGCUGGCGGCGUGCCUAAUACAUGCAAGUCGAGCGAAGCGGGGACGGGUGAGUAACACGUGGAUAAACUCCGAUAAGACCGGGUUAACUGCGGGAAACACGAGCUAAACCGGAUACUCAUGGAUGGAUCUGCGCUGCAUUAGCGAGUUGGUAAGGUAACGGCUUACAAAGGCAACGAUGAAUAGCCGACCUGAGAGGGUGAUCGGCCACACUGGGACUGAGACACGGUCCAGACUCCUACGGGAGGCAGCAGUAGGGAAUCUUCCGCAAUGGGCGAAAGCCUGACGGAGCAACGCCGCGUGAGUGAUGAAGGUCUUCGGAUCGUAAAACUCUGUUAUUAGGGAAGCGGUACCUAAUCAGAAAGCCACGGCUAACUACGUGCCAGCAGCCGCGGUAAUUC